rnacentral:rRNA from 1 species
AUUGAACGCUGGCGGCAUGCCUAACACAUGCAAGUCGAACGGCAGCGCAGUAUGUAGCAAUACAUAUGGGUGGCGAGUGGCGGACGGGUGCGUAAUAUGUAGGGAUCUGCCCUGAAGCGGGGGACAACCCGGGGAAACCCGGGCUAAUACCGCAUAAUACUCUACGGAGGAAAUCUGGCACGCAAGUGCUGGGGCUUUAGGAUGAACCUACAUCCGAUUAGCUAGUUGGUGAGGUAAUAGCUCACCAAGGCAAUGAUCGGUAGCUGGUCUGAGAGGAUGACCAGCCACACUGGGACUGGGACACGGCCCAGACUCCUACGGGAGGCAGAAGUGGGGAAUAUUGGACAAUGGGGGAAACCCUGAUCCAGCAAUGCCGCGUGGGUGAAGGAGGCCUUCGGGUUGUAAAGCCCUUUAGGCGGGGAAGAAGGUUAUAGGGUGAUAAGCCUUAUAGCUUGACGGUACCCGCAGAAUAAGCACCGGCUAACUCUGUGCCAGCCGCCGCUGUAA